CCUCAGUACGGCGAGUGAAGCGGCAACAGCUCAAAUUUGAAAUCUGGCCCUCGGGUCCGAGUUGUAAUUUGUAGAGGAUGUUUUGGGUACCGCCGCGGUUUAAAUUUCUUGGAACAGAAUGUCAAAGAGGGUGAGAAUCCCGUCUGGAACUGCGGUAGGGCCUAUGUAAAACUCCUUCGACGAGUCGAGUUGUUUGGGAAUGCAGCUCAAAAUGGGUGGUAAAUUUCAUCUAAAGCUAAAUAUUGGCCAGAGACCGAUAGCGCACAAGUAGAGUGAUCGAAAGAUGAAAAGCACUUUGAAAAGAGAGUUAAACAGUAUGUGAAAUUGUUGAAAGGGAAGCGCUUGCAACCAGACUUGUGUGUGGCGGUUCCCCCUUGCUUCUGCUUGGGCUACUCCGUCAUAUCCAGGCCAACAUCGGUUCUAGGGGUCGGUUAAAGGCCCUGGGAAUGUAUCUACCUCUGGGUAGACUUAUAGCCCAGGGUGUCAUGCGGCCUCCCGGGACCGAGGAACGCGCCUCGGCGAGGAUGUUGGCGUAAUGGUUGUCAGCGACCCGUCUUGAAACACGGACCAAGGAGUCUAACAUCUAUGCGAGUGUUUGGGUGUCAAACCCGUACGCGAAAUGAAAGUGAACGGAGGUAGGAAGCCUUUAGGCUGCACUAUCGACCGAUCCUGAUAUUUAUGGAUGGAUUUGAGUAAGAGCAUAGCUGUUGGGACCCGAAAGAUGGUGAACUAUGCCUGAAUAGGGUGAAGCCAGAGGAAACUCUGGUGGAGGCUCGCAGCGGUUCUGACGUGCAAAUCGAUCGUCAAAUUUGGGUAUAGGGUAAGUUCUUAUUUUCAUUCUUUGUUGUUUUGUUGUACCCAGGUCGUUUCCCAGAAGGGCCCUCGGAGCAACAACGAGCAACAGACAAACCAGCACAGUGGUAUACAUGUUCCUACAGCAUCACCACUGUGCUUGCUGUAACGAUAGAUGUUAUUUUUUGAUCUGUUGUUUCGACUGUGUACCUUUCGAUCCCUCCUUCUGAGUGCCACCUUUCGGAAUUUCUUGCUAUUACCUAUUUGUAAACAAAUGCUAACGGUAUUCUUAACAGGGCGAAAGACUAAUCGAACCAUCUGGUAGCUGGUUCCUGCCGAAGUUUCCCUCAGGAUAGCAGUAACGUUUUCAGUUUUAUGAGGUAAAGCGAAUGAUUAGAGGCCUUGGGGUUGAAACAACCUUAACCUAUUCUCAAACUUUAAAUAUGUAAGAAGCCCUUGUUACUUAAUUGAACGUGGGCAUUUGAAUGUAUCGUUACUAGUGGGCCAUUUUUGGUAAGCAGAACUGGCGAUGCGGGAUGAACCGAACGAGAGGUUAAGGUGCCGGAGUGCACGCUCAUCAGACACCACAAAAGGUGUCAAUGCAUCUAGACAGCCGGACGGUGGCCAUGGAAGUCGGAAUCCGCUUAGGAGUGUGUAACAACUCACCGGCCGAAUGCAUUGGCCCUGAAAAUGGAUGGCGCUUAAGCGUGUCACCUAUACCUCUCCGUAGCCGUUUACUGGAAGCGGCUACGAGUAGGCAGGCGUGGAGGUGCGUGACGAAG
rnacentral:rRNA from 1 species